rnacentral:rRNA from 1 species
CUGCAACUCGCCUGCGUCAAGUUGGAAUUGCUAGUAAUCGCGGAUCAGCAUGCCGCGGUGAAUACGUUCCCGGGCCUUGUACACACCGCCCGUCACACCAUGAGAGUCGGGAACACCCGAAGUCCGUAGUCUAACCGCAAGGAGGGCGCGGCCGAAGGUGGGUUCGAUAAUUGGGGUGAAGUCGUAACAAGGUAAC